rnacentral:rRNA from 1 species
GCCAUCCGGACAAAGGUGGAGACAAAGAACAGUUCCAAGAGCUCCAUGAGGCUUAUGAGAAGAUCAUGGAGCAACGGCGGAGCUCCGCCAACCUCGACGGCAAAUGCCGUAAGAAUUCCAUGCCGGAGAGUGACGACGAUGCAGAGCAGAAGCCAGAACAAACCGAGAAGGCUGCCAAGCCCAAGGACG